ACGGCGGCCGAGGACAAGCUUCUUUGCGAGUGUUGGAGAGACAUUGAGCAAGACCCCAAGACGGGCGCCGAACAAAAGCAUUCAACUUUUUGGAUUCGUGUCCACCGUGAGUUUCAUGAGCGCAAGAAGAUUCUGCCUUACCAAAUAGUGAGCACGCGCGGGUGGGUGUCCAUUUCGAAGCGAUGGAGGGUGAUCCAACAAGAGUGCAACAAGUUUUGUGCCACUCUUGAGAGCGUCAAGGCCCGCCCCGUGAGCGGCAUCAACAUGCAAGACAUGGCAUUUCAUGCUUUGGAGGCAUUCAAGGUCCAACAUAAUGGCAAGUGCUUCAACCACUCCCAUUGCUUUAGGGUCAUCAAA
rnacentral:rRNA from 1 species